GUUCUACCUAUGUGAAGUGUUUUGGGACAACUUGUCUUUACAUAAUAUAUGUCUUAUGUCUACGGUAUGUUUCAUGUCCUGUUUUUCUCUAGUUCUGGUGUUAUUGGGAGUAUUGAUGUCCAGUAGCAAUAGAGAGUGCUCCAGCCAUCCCAAACAAGAACAAUGUUUUCCCUCUGAGUCACUCCAAACAAUGAGCCUUGACUGAACAGCUGUGUCUGCAUAUUCCAACCAGCCUCCACAUCUGCUGCUUUGCCUGCUUCUCUCUGACGCAAACAGCAUGCAACCAAAGUCUGCACAGCCAUUCCUCAUGUUCACUUACUUCAUCAAAACCGCCUUUCGUUAUGGAGAUCAGACUAUUGUCUUCCAUAUCAGUCUCAUCUGUAUUGCAUGGUGAACAGUAGGUCAUCUUUUCCCCCGGUCAGUGCUGAGGUGGUGACGGCUUCUCUCCCCUCUCUUUCUCCCUUCAGGGUUGGUCUGACUUGGGAGCAGCCAGAGGACAGCCAGAGGACACUCCAGAUGUCUGGGGAGACAUCUGGAGGCCCCGCCGCUGCGGGCCAGGGACGGGCACCCGGUUACGCUCGCUACCAGUCUGGCUGUGGUGGGGAGGGUUCCUGGCACAGUGAUUUGGUGCACAAAUAUAAACGAAAAUCACAUUGCCAGGGAUUUCCACCCUUACACAGGCAGCUCUCCAGGUGACCCAGGUGGCAUCGGUAUGUUCUGCCCGUCAGGGUACGUCGUUUCUGUUUCCCGAUCUUGGCCCUCUAUGGUCUAUGGAAACAAGAUCAUGUAAAAUAAUACUCAACUCCAGAUAAAAGCUGUUUUCAGCUCUCACACAGGGAUUUACAGAUUACUUCCUGGUAUUAGCUCCUUACAAAUGGGAACUGUGGGAAACUGAGCCUACUUUGGCAGCCUUUACUUAUAGACAUAAGGAGUGGAUAGAUCCAAAGUGCAAAGAGUGUUUUACCUUCUAUAGAAGUCUACAAAGUACUUCCAGCCUUAGAGGAAUCAAUCAACGUUCCUCCAGACUGCCAGUAAAAGUCUAUUUUCCUCAUGUGCAUCCUGUAGUGAGCAGCCACUUGCUAAAGGCACAGAGCUUAGCUAAUUGGUGAGCAUUGAUCCCUCUUAUGUGUUGUUCACAGUGGCUAAGUUCAGUGCCUGCGGUGAAAUAGUUGAUGCAGCAGGAUGUGCUCCAAACGAUGGCGAUGAACGAGUACUGGCUGAGUUCUGAGAUGUGAAGACGAAGGAAGAAGGUGGGAAGAGAGGGAGAGAUAAUGAUGGAGGAGUGAGGUGUUGCGUGGGCAUGGAGACAGAGGCAACAGCGGGAUACAGCACGAUCCCCGUAAAGAGCAGAGGAAAGAAGGCUGCUGGGGGAAUGUCAGGCCAGCCCUGGCAUGCCCAGUUCCACACUCCAUCUCAGUCAGUCAGUCAGAGCACAGCGCCUGGCUUUGGCACUCGGCACUGGCACUGAUUUAUGUGGCAGAGGAUGGGGCACAGCUCACCUCACCUCCUCCCCAGAGCUGAGCUGGUGUGUGGGCUAUGCUGCACUCUUGUCACACUCUGAGCUGGUGUGUGGGCUAGGCUGCCCUCUUGUCACACUCUGAGCUGGUGUGUGGGCUAGGCUGCCCUCUUGUCAUACUCUGAGCUGGUGUGUGGGCUAGGCUGCCCUCUUGUCACACUCUGAGCUGGUGUGUGGGCUAGGCUGCCCUCUUGUCACACUCUGAGCUGGUGUGUGGGCUAGUCUGCCCUCUUGUCAUACUCUGAGCUGGUGUGUGGGCUAGGCUGCCCUCUUGUCACACUCUGAGCUGGUGUGUGGGCUAGGCUGCCCUCUUGUCACACUCUGAGCUGGUGUGUGGGCUAGGCUGCCCUCUUGUCACACUCUGAGCUGGUGUGUGGGCUAGGCUGCCCUCUUGUCACACUCUGAGCUGGUGUGUGCGCUAGGCUGCCCUCUUGUCACACUCUGAGCUGGUGUGUGGGCUAGGCUGCCCUCUUGUCACACUCUGAGCUGUGGGGCUUGGUACUUGGUAUAGAACCAUACCAAGCUACCAUGCAACUCUGAGGCCAAAUUACGAGUGUGUGGAAUUCACUUUAUGAGUUGACAUACAUGCAAAACAUCUUGUGGGACAGUGGUCAACCCAUUUACGUGAGGCACAUUUGUGUUUGUGGUUAUCUCUGUCCCCUUGUCCAUUGGUCAGUUGGUUAAUUGUGGGUCAUUAUUAUAGAGUUCUUAUGGCCUAUUGUAAUGUUGUUUUGUCAAGAGGUUUAGACCUCUUGUGGUAACUGCUUAGUAAGGCCUUAAAUUGAAAGUUUCUCAGGGGUUACCCAUCAAAUUGGCUACAGUUUGUUCUGUGGUUUCCAUUCGGUCUCAAUGUAGAGUGGUAGAGUUUCUAAAGGGAUGGACGUGGAGGGUUUAAAUACUCUAUGGUUGGGGCUGUGCCCUCCUGUGCCUACUGAACUGGUAUCAGUUUGAACUCUGAGUACUGGCUCAGUUCAGCAGGAACAGGAGUGGAGCCCACUGUGUGCCAUUACGCCCUCCAAUCAGCAUGCAGAAAGACAUCCAGUACCGCAUUAGCCCUGCCCACCAGACCCCCAAGGGCUUGUGCCAUUGGCCUUGAUGAAACCCAACAUUCCUGUCAGCAUUAAACCCUGAGACAUCAGACAGAGGCAUUGCAGCCUGUGAGAGUUGAAUGUCCCUGCUUCAAGCAUGAAUGUUUCAUAACCAGAUUUAUCAUUAGGAACUGGCAGGCAGCAUGGAGAAGGUACAUUGAAUUUGCUGCAUACUGAUGCAGUUAUUCUCCUCAGACUUCAUGUUUAUUUCAGUAUGGCUUUUUUCCCCUUGACAAUGCCGCAACCAAGCACACACGCACUCUCUAGCUCUCUGAGCCGUCAGAGGGCAAACGGAGAAACUGAAGUUCAUUGUGCGGUAAUCCAAGCGAAAUGUCUGCUAUGUCCAUGUAAUUGACGUUACCUAGAGAGCCUCAUUUUCAGCUGAUUGGGAAUGUCUGCUAUUUUACUUUAUGCUCCCCUGCCACAGAGAUAAUGUCGCACGUUAUAAAUCAGGACUUUGGAAACAUUCUUCAUCUCAAGAUUUUUCACUCGUAGGAUAAAAGAGGUUCAUUAACCACACGAUCAAUCUCAGCUCGUCCAAUGGGCCGUGGAUUGUAGACGGCAUUUGCCGCCUCUUGACAUUUUUGCAAUGACUUUUAACCUUGAAGAGAUUACCUGAAUGAAACCUAGUUUUGUAAUAUGACAAGACUGGUGGAUUCUUGUCCUCCGGGCAUUGGUCCAAAUUCAUAUAUUUUUUUUUGUAUCUAUUAGGGGUAAAAACUAGCCUAAUCCAUCAGACAGGGGAUUAACAUCAAGCUACUACUUAAAAUGUCGCAUUUGUGGUUUCUUAACUCUGAGGCAUGCUGCUCUUCCUUUGUUGUCACAGGUAUGUCUUUCAUGCUGUUCUGUGAGUCACCACUUUUGCUGUAAAUCUCAUGUAAUCCUACCACAAAAUCCAUUAAUAAAAAAGUAUUACUUCA